rnacentral:lncRNA from 1 species
AGUGGUUGGCAGGCAGCAAAGGGCUUGAGUCUGAUCCUCACCACUCCUGUAGGACACUGAGCCCAGAGACAGGAAUCUGUCACGCCAGCACCACAGGGGAUGGAGACUGGCAAGAUCUGGGAGGUCAUUGACCUGCCAGCCUAGAGAAACCACUGUGAGCCAUGAUUCAGCACAUAACAGCACUUGCUGUAUAAGCCUGGCAAACUGAGUUCAAACUCCAGAAACCAUGGUGGAGAGACCCGAAUCCCGAAGGUUGUCCUCUGAUGUCUAGGCCUAUGCGUGACACAGCUGUGCCCACACUCACACAUAUACAUACACAGAAACAUAUACAUAUACAUGUAUACAUGCACAUACACAUAAACACCAGUAAUACUUUUUUUUUUUUUUUUUUGGUUUUUCGAGACAGAGUUUUUCUGUAGCCCUGGCUGUCCUGGAACUCACUCUGUAGACCAGGCUGGCCUCGAACUCAGAAAUCCGCCUGCCUCUGCCUCCCGAGUGCUGAGAUUAAAGGCGUGAGCCACAAUACAUUUUUUAAAAAAGUUUAAAACUUUAAAUCUGGGGUGUGUGUGUGGGAAUGAAGAGCCAUUGAGAAAGACACCCAAUGCUGACUGCUCACCUCCCCAUGAACACACAUUUGUACACAAUAAUACGUGUAUGUUCCACAUACAUAAAAUCUAGCCUAGAAUCACCUGAGUAGAAUCUCAAGGUUCUACAUUAGGUUGUACAUUAGGUUGGCCUGUGAGAGAGUACUGUCUUAUUAAUUGACAUGAAAAGACCUAGCCCACUAUGGGGGGCACCAUUCUCUACGCAUGGGGUCCUGAACUGUGUCCGUUGACAUGAGCAAACAUGUGAGGGAGCAUGCAUGUGUUUACUUCUCUCUGCUCUUGACUGAAUGCCAUGUGUCCAGCUGUCCAAGUUCUUGUCUUGACUUCCCCAUGGAGAAGGACCUCGACCUGGUGCUGUUAGCUGAAGCACCUUCUUUCUCCUCUGAGUUACUUAGGGCAGG